AACGAACGCUGGCGGCAGGCUUAACACAUGCAAGUCGAGCGCCCCGCAAGGGGAGCGGCAGACGGGUGAGUAACGCGUGGGAACCUACCCUUUUCUACGGAAUAACGCAUGGAAACGUGUGCUAAUACCGUAUACGCCCUUAGGGGGAAAGAUUUAUCGGAGAAGGAUGGGCCCGCGUUGGAUUAGCUAGUUGGUGGGGUAAAGGCCUACCAAGGCGACGAUCCAUAGCUGGUCUGAGAGGAUGAUCAGCCACAUUGGGACUGAGACACGGCCCAAACUCCUACGGGAGGCAGCAGUGGGGAAUAUUGGACAAUGGGCGCAAGCCUGAUCCAGCCAUGCCGCGUGAGUGAUGAAGGCCCUAGGGUUGUGAAGCUCUUUCACCGGAGAAGAUAAUGACGGUAUCCGGAGAAGAAGCCCCGGCUAACUUCGUGCCAGCAGCCGCAGUAAGAC
rnacentral:rRNA from 1 species